CUAUACAUGACUCUGCGCAUAUCAAUAAGCGGAGGAAAAGAAACUAACAAGGAUUCCCUUAGUAACGGCGAGUGAAGCGGGAAGAGCUCAAAUUUGAAAUCUUCAAGGUUCUACCUUGACGAAUUGUAGUUUAUAGAAGUGUUUUCUGUUAGUAGAGUGGCAAAAGUUCUUUGGAAUAGGACAUCAUAGAGGGUGAGAAUCCCGUAUUUGGUCAUUCUUUCUAGCUUUGUGAUACACUUUCAACGAGUCGGAUUGUUUGGGAAUGCAGUCCAAAAUGGGUGGUAAAUUUCAUCUAAAGCUAAAUAUUGGCGAGAGACCGAUAGCGAACAAGUACCGUGAGGGAAAGAUGAAAAGAACUUUGAAAAGAGAGUUAAACAGUACGUGAAAUUGUCAAAAGGGAAGCGUUUGACACCAGUGUUGUUUUUCCGAAAAUCAAUUACGAAUGUUUUGUUUUUAGAGAGUUAUGACUUCAUCGGCUUGCUUCCUUUCUUUACGAAACUUUCUUAAUGCACUUUUCGGUUAACAAGUCAACAUCAAUUUCUUUUGUUGUAAAAGGGUAUGAGGAAGGUGGCUUUCUUUUCGGAGAAAGUGUUUAUAGCCUUGUGCCUCUACAAUCGGAGAGAUUGAGGUCUGCAGCGUAGAUCCUUCGGGGUUAGAUACGUUUGUGCUAAGUUAUAGCUUUUCAUAGACAACUUGUUGACUAUGUUUAGUCUUGUAGCUUACUCGCUGACGCUAUUUUACCUACGCUUAGGAUGUUGAUAUGCAUGACUGAUAU
rnacentral:rRNA from 1 species